rnacentral:rRNA from 1 species
GAUGAACGCUAGCUACAGGCUUAACACAUGCAAGUCGAGGGGCAGCAUGGUCUUAGCUUGCUAAGGCCGAUGGCGACCGGCGCACGGGUGAGUAACACGUAUCCAACCUGCCGUCUACUCUUGGACAGCCUUCUGAAAGGAAGAUUAAUACAAGAUGGCAUCAUGAGUCCGCAUGUUCACAUGAUUAAAGGUAUUCCGGUAGACGAUGGGGAUGCGUUCCAUUAGAUAGUAGGCGGGGUAACGGCCCACCUAGUCUUCGAUGGAUAGGGGUUCUGAGAGGAAGGUCCCCCACAUUGGAACUGAGACACGGUCCAAACUCCUACGGGAGGCAGCAGUGAGGAAUAUUGGUCAAUGGGCGCAGGCCUGAACCAGCCAAGUAGCGUGAAGGAUGACUGCCCUAUGGGUUGUAAACUUCUUUUAGAAAGGAAUAAAGUCGGGUAUGGAUACCCGUUUGCAUGUACCUGAUGAAUAAGGAUCGGCUAACUCCGUG